UUAAAUUGAAGAGUUUGAUCAUGGCUCAGAUUGAACGCUGGCGGCAGGCCUAACACAUGCAAGUCGAACGGUAACAGGAAGCAGCUUGCUGCUUUGCUGACGAGUGGCGGACGGGUGAGUAAUGUCUGGGA
rnacentral:rRNA from 7 species